rnacentral:rRNA from 1 species
UGCGUAGGUGGCGAGGUAAGUCGGAUGUGAAAUCUCCAAGCUCAACUUGGAAAUGGCAUUGGAAACUACCUUGCUGGAGGGAUGGAGGGGGGACUGGGAUUCUCGGUGUAGCAGUGAAAUGCGUAGAUAUCGAGAGGAACACCAGUGGCGAAGGCGAGUCCCUGGACAUCUCCUGACACUGAGGCACGAAAGCUAGGGGAGCAAACA